GCAUAUUAGAAUGAAUCAAUAACUUCUCCCAACCUGGUCAAUGUUAGCUCAUGAUUCACUCAUUCAAGUGAAAUCAAAUCCCUUAAUUCUAGCUACUUUGGAUGACUCUUGAUUAACCAAGUUGCAAUAUUCCUACGGUAACAUUUUUAGUUUCCUAUCCUUUGACUUUUGACUCGUUGUGUACAUAUUUUAUUGUAAAGCAUU
rnacentral:lncRNA from 1 species